GAUCUGGAUGACUCAAAUACAAACCGAAGAUUUUGAUACUUUGAAUCGCAACUUUUAUACUUUGAAAGAAUUAGAUCAUUUUCAGAGAAGGAUCCAGAGAGAGGAGGCAUCUAGGAGAGGCUGAGUAGCUAGUCUUCCAGCCUGUUGCUCAGUUCUGGGAUGGCUGUGCGCAGAAUGGGGCAUGGGAAGGACUGAGCAUGGAGAACCAGAAGAAACCUACUGCGAUCAUCCUGGUGCCCCACACCAGGCUGGUGACAGGUGGUCAGACUGGCUGUAUUUUGAAGGCAGAGCCUACAAGCUUUGAUGGCUGGGUAUGAAGAGACCAUCUUCUAUACAGAUACGACAGAAGAGCCACAGAUGACUCUGAGGCCUGAGCAACUGAAGAAUGGCACUGCCAUCCACAGGGCUGGAGUGGCUUCCUUGGGAACUGGUUUGUGAAUCUGUGAAAACCAGGCUGAUAUUUUAAGUGCUUUAUACUGAGGACAGGUGGGAAGUGACUUUUUAACUUUUUAAGAGAAUGAUAUGCAAUUUGCAGUCAACUCAAUCGUUUCAGAUCAAGUGGAAUUUCUACAAUGGAGAUGCACUGAAGAAUUAAAUAAAGGCUCCAAAGUGCGCAAUCACUUUUAUAAUCAGG